UGCAGUCGACGGAAAGGCCCGCUUGCGGGUACUCGAGUGGCGAACGGGUGAGUAACACGUGGGCAACCUGCCCCUAGCUCUGGGAUAACACUUGGAAACAGGUGCUAAUACCGGAUGAUGACUGUGCGAGGCAUCUCGUGUGGUUCAAAGUUUUUCGGCUAGGGAUGGGCCCGCGGCCUAUCAGCUUGUUGGUGGGGUAAUGGCCUACCAAGGCGACGACGGGUAGCCGGCCUGAGAGGGCGACCGGCCACACUGGGACUGAGACACGGCCCAGACUCCUACGGGAGGCAGCAGUGGGGAAUAUUGCGCAAUGGGCGAAAGCCUGACGCAGCGACGCCGCGUGAGGGAUGAAGGCCUUCGGGUUGUAAACCUCUUUCAGCAGGAACGAAUCAAGACGGUACCUGCAGAAGAAGCACCGGCUAACUACGUGCCAGCAGCCGCGGUAAUACGUAGGGUGCAAGCGUUGUCCGGAUUUAUUGGGCGUAAAGAGCUCGUAGGCGGUCUGUCGCGUCGAAUGUGAAAACCCGGGGCUCAACUCCGGGCCUGCAUUCGAUACGGGCAGACUAGAGUUCGGUAGGGGAGACUGGAAUUCCUGGUGUAGCGGUGAAAUGCGCAGAUAUCAGGAGGAACACCGGUGGCGAAGGCGGGUCUCUGGGCCGAUACUGACGCUGAGGAGCGAAAGCGUGGGGAGCGAACAGGAUUAGAUACCCUGGUAGUCCACGCCGUAAACGUUGGGCGCUAGGUGGUGGGGGUCCUUCCACGACCUCCGUGCCGCAGCUAACGCAUUAAGCGC
rnacentral:rRNA from 1 species